rnacentral:lncRNA from 1 species
AGUUUUCAAAAAGAAAGGAUUUAUUUAUAUUGGAACAGAAAGUUUAAGAACACUUUGAGUUUAGCUAUGGUUUGUUCUACAAGGGUUCACAUACUGGGUGGGUCUCAGUCUUCAAAAGAAUAAUGUUUAGAGAUGGUAGAGCCUUUGAGAGGUUGGUCAUAGAACCACUUCCCUUAGAAGGGACUAACUCCCAUCUUGAGAGUCAAUUGGGUCUCACCAGCAUAGGGUGGAUUGAUAAUUAAACAAAGAAUGGGCUGUAAUAAGGCAAGGUCAUCGUAUGUGUAUUAUCAUAGGAUUAUAAAUGGUGCUUAGGGGAAAAGAAGGAAGGUAGAGUUUCUGGUGGUACAUGGAAGUAGGGUACCAUCAAACGCUUAGCCCAGAUGCUUUUAAAAGACUUAUAGCAGAAAUAGAGAUGGCUUGGAGGGAUGAGCUGCAGUCCGGUUGAUCCAUCCACAAAGUGUCCAGGUGCCCCUCAAUUUGGCCAUGUUCAGUUCAUACAUAUUGUUUCUAGGCAGAGAUGUCCAUUCAGGGGAAGAGAGAUAACAAGAAACCAGACCUUCCUCCUGGCACAAAAAGUUUUCUCAACUCACUUUCUCAUUGUUCAUGAAAUUAAUUAUUUAAAAAUUUGACUCAAAGGACACAGAAGCCACUGGCCUGUUGUUGUUUUGGUGACUUCUGGUUUGUUUGGGACUCUUAGCUAUGCUCUUCUGAGAUGAGAAAGCCAUCAUGGCUCUGAAAGACACCCCUAUUCCUGUGUAUGCAUCAUUGCUUUGUUCAGAGGCCUGUGAUGUCACCCCCCCCCAUAUUCUGAUGCCUUCCCUACACACAGGGACAUGAGCUAAGCCUCAGAUAUUUUGUUAGCAACCUAAAGAGGACUAUGAAAGAAUCCAUGCCUAGAUGAGGAGUAGAACUAUGAGUGAGUCAAAGGAGAAAUUUUAUCCAACUCGUUCUAAAAGAUUUUGAUAUGGCUCUGUACAAUGGUUGUGAGAUAUAAUCCAUUGAAGAUAUGGAACUCUGUCUUAUAUUUGGAGAUGUGUGGGGUAUGUAUGUGUUACAAUGUAUGUGUGGAGGUCAGAUGAUAAUUUUCAGGAGUCAAUCCUCUUUUUUCCACCAUUGGUUCUGGAAACUGACUUCAGAUUGUCAGCUUGUCCAGAAAGGCCAUCUUACUGGCCAUUGUGGCCAUUUACUUAAACUCAAUGUUGAUUAGAAAAAGGCACUUUCCUUUAGGGCAUGUCAUGGUCAAUUUUCUGUGUCAGUUUGACCAGGAUUGAGAAUAACCAGGUAGCUGUUAAGAGGUCAUUUUUGGCCUGCAUGUACUUCUGCACCUACACAUAUGCACACAUGCAUAUGUACCACACAUACAUUCACCACAUAAAUACACAUCACAUAUUCAUACAUACACAUGCAAUCAGUAAAAUAUAUGCACAGUACUGGUAAAGAAAUUAGAUCUAAAGGUUAACAUAUUCAGAAACUAGGACACAAUCAUUUUGAAAGAGAAUAUUGAAGAAGCAAUUGUCCCACGUCCCACUCCCAACAUUUUCCUCCCUGGAUAGUAUAGAGAAUGAACAUAAAUCUUAAAUCUCUCUCUUGGCACCUCUGACUUGGAGACAAAUAAAUUAAAUUCUUAUUAUGGGUGUGUGCAUGCCAUAUCUUAUGUGUGGAGGUACAAAUGACAAUGUGUGUUGGUUCUCUCCUUCCAUCUGGGUCCUGGGGUCCUCAGAGUUGGUGGCAAGUUCCCUUAACUCGGAGUUCAAUCAUCAGCAUAAGACAUUAUUUUAUGAUUUUAAAAGUUCUUCUCUUUUACUCCUUGCUUGUGCCUUAUUUCCUUGUAUAUUCUCUUGGGGUGAUUAAAUUGUUUUCUUCUCGUUGAUAAAUAAGUAUUACAUUAGGAUUUACAAGCAUUUUAACAGUUUCAAACAUAACACAAUCCAUGUAAAGGAGACCUUUCUACCUUUGCUAUUUUAGUUUGUAUGAUUUUAGGAACAUGCAGAGUAAUAAAUCAUGCCUAGGC